rnacentral:lncRNA from 1 species
UUCAGUUCGUCUUCUCCCAUCCAAUCCUUCAGGUCCUUCACCGUCUCAUUCCGGCGAUCGAAUCCUUCAGGUCCUGUCUCUCCGGCCACCGCUUUCGAUUCCGUCACUCGCCGUCUCACUUCCUUCUCAGGUCCUCUCUCUCACUCGAUCUAUUCAAAUUUUGAACCUAGUUCUUCACAUUUAGUCUCAAUGUCGCGAUUCCUCCCAAAUUUUUGUUGGUUUAUUUAGGGUUUGAUGAUUCUAAUUUGUUAAAUUUGGCACCAAUCUUUUGUUUACCUUUUGUCUGGAUUUUUUUUACGGGUCCGUCAAUUUGUGUCGAUUGUGAUUAAUGGAUUCAUAAUCAUGUAAAUUGAAUUGAAAAUAAUGUUUAUUAUUGAUGUAUUUUCGAUUAUAAACCCAAUCUGGAACCUGAAACCCAUGGAUUUCUCAAUCUUUGACUCAAACCCAUCUUUGUUUGCUGAUUCUAAAAUACCCAAACCCUCAUCUUUGUAUUAUUCUUCUUUUUAGUUGAUUAAUAAGGUUCACUUUUGAUAAUAAAGUCCAGUUUUAAUUAUUUGAUUGAUGAUUUCCUGGUUUUGGUUUUUGAUUUUCUUGUUUUUGUUUUGAAAUUAGUUUAAUAAAGUAAUUAUUUGAAAGCUCUCAAUAUGUUAUUUGUGCAAGUUCUUUUUUUUUUUUUAUGUGUAUUAUUAAACAAAGAUGACAUGAUUCUGCCAAAUUGCUAGCACACAAAACAUGAUCCUUUAUAACUGUGUUUGUUUUGCAGAAACUGGUUCGUUGUUUUUCGAAGUUGGGGUGGCUACGUUGUUAUUUGAAGUUGCGGUUGCCUGUUAUUAUUUGAAGUUGCGGUGUUGCGGUUGCUGUUUACGCAUCAGGUACAACAAUCUUGGAAUUUAUCCUUUAUAACUGUGACCGCAAGUUAAGGUUUGGGUGAUUGGAAAAUUAGUACAGACCUUCUACAAGGUACACGACUUUCAUUCAAUAAUUAGUUGACAAAAAUAUUGCCGUGAACUUCUAUUUGUUAUAUAUUUGCUUUAUGAAAUAGAAUAUUCACGUUAGACUUAUUUGGUGUUUCUUUAAUUCUGUAUGUGAAGCUGCAAUUAUUUGGUCUGGUUAUAAACUCCUUUUAUUUAUAUGCAAGUUUAUAUGUGAUUGUGACAUUGGCUUUCGUUAUUGUACCUUCAAUUUUCAAGCUUUUACUUUGCUUAGGUUUUUGAAUUGGCAAUAAUAUCUUGCUUAAUAUGAGUUAACAAUUAUAAUAUUUUUCGCAGGCAUCAAACGUAGGAAGUGAAUCUCCAACACCCAAUGACAUAACUAGAUCAUCAGAUGAAAGCAACGCACGUGGAGCAUGAGAGUCCUAAUUUUAGUGACAUAAGUUGUCUAGUCAUUUUUAUGUUUUGAAACUUGUUAUUUUGAGAAUAGCUAAAGAUGGUGGCGAUGGUUUGCGUAACUUUAUGUUUGGAGACUUGUUUAUAUUUAAGACUGGUUUUGGAUAUUUGUAUCAAACUCCACUUGAGUUGAAUUAUAAAAAUAUAUCAAUGACAAUGUUCAAAAUUUGUUUGUCCUUUAAUUUUGUUCAAAAAAUAGAAAUGUACAAUUAUAUAUUCCUAUGAAAUAAUAAUAUUAUAAAUAAAAUAAUUUCAAU